rnacentral:rRNA from 1 species
UAGGGAAUCUUCCGCAAUGGGCGAAAGCCCGACGGAGCAACGCCGCGUGAGUGAUGAAGGUCUUCGGAUCGUAAAACUCUGUUAUUAGGGAAGAACAUACGUGUAAGUAACUAUGCACGUCUUGACGGUACCUAAUCAGAAAGCCACGGCUAACUACGUGCCAGCAGCCGCGGUAAUACGUAGGUGGCAAGCGUUAUCCGGAAUUAUUGGGCGUAAAGCGCGCGUAGGCGGUUUUUUAAGUCUGAUGUGAAAGCCCACGGCUCAACCGUGGAGGGUCAUUGGAAACUGGAAAACUUGAGUGCAGAAGAGGAAAGUGGAAUUCCAUGUGUAGCGGUGAAAUGCGCAGAGAUAUGGAGGAACACCAGUGGCGAAGGCGACUUUCUGGUCUGUAACUGACGCUGAUGUGCGAAAGCGUGGGGAUCAAACA